rnacentral:rRNA from 1 species
AUUGAACGCUGGCGGCAUGCCUUACACAUGCAAGUCGAACGGUAACAGGUCUUCGGAUGCUGACGAGUGGCGAACGGGUGUGUAAUACAUCGGAACGUGCCCGAUCGUGGGGGAUAACGCAGCGAAAGCUGUGCUAAUACCGCAUACGAUCUACGGAUGAAAGCGGGGGAUCGCAAGACCUCGCGCGGACGGAGCGGCCGAUGGCAGAUUAGGUAGUUGGUGGGAUAAAAGCUUACCAAGCCGACGAUCUGUAGCUGGUCUGAGAGGACGACCAGCCACACUGGGACUGAGACACGGCCCAGACUCCUACGGGAGGCAGCAGUGGGGAAUUUUGGACAAUGGGCGCAAGCCUGAUCCAGCCAUGCCGCGUGCAGGAUGAAGGCCUUCGGGUUGUAAACUGCUUUUGUACGGAACGAAAAAGCUCUCUCUAAUACAGGGGGUGAAUGACGGUACCGUAAGAAUAAGCACCGGCUAACUACGUG